rnacentral:lncRNA from 1 species
AUCAAAGCCCAUUUCGGGCGCCUGUCUCUCUUUCUCCUCUCCCUCUCUCUCUGCCGUAGCAGCUUCCUCGACAGAUUUCUAGGUCGUCCGGCCACCCCAGACGGCAAGGCCACCGUCAAACUUCUUCUCCUCUUCUUCUCUCCUUCCUGGCCUAACCGGAAAAUCCAACAUGCAUUCAUUAUGGAGAGAGAUUGAUCGCGGUGGUGCGCGGCUGUGUUCUUCAAUUUUCAGAAAGCUCCGGCGGGGACGACGACUUCGAUGGGUAUAUUCUUGUCUGCCUCUCUUCCCUCUUCAUUUAUGUGUCUUUGUUUUCUUGAUUCGAGCCCUAACUUAAAAAAACCUAAUUUUUACUUAAUUUGGGAUUCCCAACGUGCCUCCGCCAUUGAUGUCGUCGAGGCUUCUCGGUGUCCCUCUUCUCCUUUCUGACUUCACAUCGAUCAACUCGCAGCCAAUAUUAGUUUGUAUGGAAGCAUGCUGCUAUGUUAGAGGAGACCCGUACCCAGAUUCCGGCGAGGAAGCUACUGCCGGCAAAGGGAAGAUUCUGGGAAUUUGAUUUGUGGCAAUUUGAAGGUACUGUGUUGGUGGUGGUUUUGAGAAAUCGAAGUUUGGUUGCUGAUUUGGUAUUUUGCUUGCUUGUAUGUCGAAAACUUGGAAAUUGAAGUUUACGGGGAGGUUAUGGCCUAAUUCAGGUAGGUCGUCGGAAUUCGGUGAACAUAUCUGGCAAGUCGUCGGAAUCCGGCGAGGCAGUAGAUCCGGCAGUAGCCGAUGAGGUAGUUUAUGAGGUUUUCCUUUUCUUUUCGUGUCAUUGUGUCAAGAAUAUGCUAGUUUGAAUUGUUUCGCAAAACUUUCCAUUUUCAGAAAGUUUCUAUUUUGGGAAACUUUCCUUUUUUGGAAAUGUUCUAUUUAUGGAAACAUGGCCAUCCCUGGUCAGCUCAGGAACCCUAGUCAAACUAGGAAAGAGGUCGAAUCAAUGGUUAUUUCAGAGUUCGGUCUGACCAAUCUGUUCUACUGUUUAUCGUCAGUUGCGGGAUUGACUCGAGAAUUUGGAUACUUUAAGGCAGCGCUCGAGAAGUGUUACGAGCAUUGGAAGACUUAGGCUUAACCAAUAAGUGGACGUUUGUUUUAAAUUAAAUGAAUGCGAUGGUCUAUUUUAUUGAGAAAUUUAUUAUCAACUGAACAUAUUGUUUUCCAAUAUUUAUAAUUGGCAAUUUUCGCUAAUUUGGAGAGUUACCGAAAAUAUAUAUAUAUUUAUAUGAGUUUAGUAUGUAUAUAAUUGCUAGCUAGUUAUACGUGUCUUUCCACCAUAAUGGUAUAGCGAAUAAUUACCGUCAUUAAAGUGUGACAUGAGCGUGGGAUGGGAGCGUAGUAGCCUUGUAUAUGAAGAAUUCAUACAGGGGGUAAUGGGGGCACGUACACACCCGUCUUUUUGCCAUAAUGGUGCAACGAAUAACCGCCGUCAUUAAUACUUAUUAUGGUUUGACGUGAAUGUGGGACACGAGCGUAGUAGCUCUGUAUGAAUUCUUAAAUUCAUACAGGGGGUAAUGAGACGUACG